rnacentral:rRNA from 1 species
AUACGUAGGGGACAAGCGUUAUCCGGAUUUACUGGGUGUAAAGGGAGCGCAGACGGCAGUGCAAGUCUGAAGUGGAAGCCCGGGGCUCAACCCCGGGACUGCUUUGGAAACUGUUCUGCUAGAGUACUGGAAGGGCAAGCGGAAUUCCUGGUGUAGCGGUGAAAUGCAUAGAUAUCAGGAGGAACACCGGUGGCGAAGGCGGCUUGCUGGACAGCAACUGACGUUGAGGCUCGAGAGCGUGGGGAGCAAACAGGAUUAGAUACCCUGGUAGUCCACGCUGUAAACGAUGAAUACUAGGUGUUGGGAGACUAAGUCUUUCAGUGCCGUCGCAAACGCAGUAAGUAUUCCACCUGGGGAGUACGUUCGCAAGAAUGAAACUCAAAGGAAUUGACGGGG